UCCUUCCUGGUGUAGUGGUUAACACCCUCACCUUCCAACUUGGUGUAAAGUCAGGAGGUCUGGAGUUCGAAUCCCGUGGGUGGAU